rnacentral:rRNA from 1 species
GAUCAUGGCUCAGGAUGAACGCUGGCGGCGUGCCUAACACAUGCAAGUCGAACGAGGUAUUUUGAUUGAAGUUUUCGGAUGGAUUUCAAGAUACCGAGUGGCGGACGGGUGAGUAACGCGUGGGUAACCUGCCUCAUACAGGGGGAUAACGGUUAGAAAUGACUGCUAAUACCGCAUAAGCGCACAGUACCGCAUGGUACCGUGUGAAAAACUCCGGUGGUAUGAGAUGGACCCGCGUCUGAUUAG